rnacentral:rRNA from 1 species
AUUGAACGCUGGCGGCAGGCCUAACACAUGCAAGUCGAACGGUAGAAGGGAGAAUGCUCCUUGAUUGAGCAGCGGACGGGUGAGUGAUGCCUAGGAAUGUGCAUGGGAGUGGGGGAUAACGUUCAGUAAUGGGAGCUAAUACCGAAUACGCCUAGCGGGAGAAAACCGAGGAUGUUGAGAUUUGACGCUAUCACCAUCGCCUAGGUCGGAUUAGGUAGAUGGUGGGGUAAAGGCAAACCCAGGCGACGAUCCGUAACUGGUCUGAGAGGAUGAUCAGUCACACUGGAACUGAGACACGGUCCAGACUCCUACGGGAGGCAGCAGUGGGGAAUAUUGGACAAUGGGCGAAAGCCUGAUCCAGCCAUGCCGCGUGUAUGAAGAAGGUCUUCGGAUUGUAAAGCACUUUAAGUUGGGAGGAAGGGAGGUAAGUUAAUACCUUGCCGCAUUGACGUUACCAGCAGAAGAAGCACCGGCUAACUCCGUG